UUCUCUUGCGCGUUCUACAUCAAAUGAGGAGAGACAAAAGUGUUCAAAAAUUUCAACCUAGAAUUUUAAUACAAAUUUAAAAUUACAGACAUCCAAAGAUAAAUGUAUAUCAGUCCAAAAUUUCUGUAAAAAUCCCGCAGAACUAAAAAAGGCCUAAACUCAAUCAGCAACCUAUGACAAAUGAAAAGGUAAGCACAAACAAAUAAUAAACUUCGUAUAUAAACCACAGAAAACGAUAAACAUGCAUCGAUUCUGCGUUUUUAUGAAUUGAUACUCAAAAGUGAAAGUUGCACCCAUAUGUAUCGAGAUGGGGCGAAGACUGGCGCCGGUCAGGGACCUGGCCCGCACCUCUAAAAAAAUUGAAGGAGUCAUGAAACACGUACGGAAUUCAAGAAUUAUAGAGGCAUUUUAUGGGGCUUGAUUAAAGCAAACGGAAAGAAAAAAGUCAUGUGGAGAAAAAUUGAAUCAGAGCAAACCUGAUGGUGGCUGCCGAAGAAACCAACAUCGGCAUCCCUAUUUAAAAAAAAAAACUCAUAAUCAAAAUUUUGAGCACAAUAAACAUCCCUAAUCUUGGAACUCAAAAAAAUAGAUUCAAUACAAAUAAAGUACAUAGAGUAACAGAAACAAGAAGUCAUUAAGUUAAUGAGAAUCCCAUGUCUAUAAAUCCUGGCGCUCGAACAAGCUCCCCCUAUUUUUUUUUCACCGGGACUCAGUACAAUUUCUACAAACAUCUAAAUAGCAAAAGGGCAUUAAAUCCAAAUAAGCAAAACAGAUACGAAAACCUGAACGAACCAAAAUAAAUCGUAAGAAAAAAACAGAAAUAUACGAGGCAGAAAUCAAACAAAUAUAAACAACUCCAACGGCUGACGAAGUCGUCGGACACACAAAGCUAUUCAUCAGAGUGGCGCCAUCAACAGACGUGGCCGAACCUAUCUCCAUCUCAGAAUUCAGUCACCAGAAUAAAAGCAGC
rnacentral:lncRNA from 1 species